UAUGGCCCGGGGCGCAGCAGUGGGGAAUAUUGGACAAUGGGGGGAAUCCUGAUCCAGCGACGCCGCGUGAGUGAAGAAGUAUUUUGGUAUGUAAAGCUCUAUCAGCAGGGAAGAAAAUGACGGUACCUGACUAAGAAGCCCCGGCUAACUACGUGCCAGCAGCCGCGGUAAUACGUAGGGGGCAAGCGUUAUCCGGAUUUACUGGGUGUAAAGGGAGCGUAGACGGUGCAGCAAGUCUGAUGUGAAAGGGCGGGGCCCAACCCCGGGACUGCAUUGGAAACUGUUGAACUGGAGUACAGGAGAGG
rnacentral:rRNA from 1 species